rnacentral:misc_RNA from 1 species
GAUGAAGAACGUAGCAAAAUGCGAUAAGUAAUGUGAAUUGCAGAAUUCAGUGAAUCAUCGAAUCUUUGAACGCACAUUGCGCCCGCCAGUAUUCUGGCGGGCAUGCCUGUUCGAGCGUCAUUUCAACCCUCAAGCACAGCUUGGUGUUGGGACUCGCGUUAAUUCGCGUUCCUCAAAUUGAUUGGCGGUCACGUCGAGCUUCCAUAGCGUAGUAGUAAAACCCUCGUUACUGGUAAUCGUCGCGGCCACGCCGUUAAACCCCAACUUCUGAAUGUUGACCUCGGAUCAGGUAGGAAUACCCGCUGAACUUAAGCAUAUCAAUAAGCGGAGG